rnacentral:rRNA from 1 species
CGAGGACGAACGCUGGCGGCGCGCCUAACACAUGCAAGUCGAACGAGAGAUGAAGAGCUUGCUCUUCAAAUCGAGUGGCGAACGGGUGAGUAACGCGUGAGGAACCUGCCUCAAAGAGGGGGACAACAGUUGGAAACGACUGCUAAUACCGCAUAAGCCCACGGCUCGGCAUCGAGCAGAGGGAAAAGGAGCAAUCCGCUUUGAGAUGGCCUCGCGUCCGAUUAGCUAGUUGGUGAGGUAACGGCCCACCAAGGCGACGAUCGGUAGCCGGACUGAGAGGUUGAACGGCCACAUUGGGACUGAGACACGGCCCAGACUCCUACGGGAGGCAGCAGUGGGGAAUAUUGCACAAUGGGGGGAACCCUGAUGCAGCGACGCCGCGUGGAGGAAGAAGGUCUUCGGAUUGUAAACUCCUGUUGUUGAGGAAGAUAAUGACGGUACUCAACAAGGAAGUGACGGCUAACUACGUG